UACGGAGGAUCCAAGCGUUAUCCGGAUUUAUUGGGUUUAAAGGGUGCGUAGGCGGCCUAUUAAGUCAGGGGUGAAAGACGGUAGCUUAACUAUCGCAGUGCCUUUGAUACUGAUGGGCUUGAAUGUACUUGAGGUAGGCGGAAUGUGACAAGUAGCGGUGAAAUGCAUAGAUAUGUCACAGAACACCAAUUGCGAAGGCAGUCUACUAAAGUAUGAUUGACGCUGAGGCACGAAAGCGUGGGGAUCAAACAGG
rnacentral:rRNA from 1 species